CAAUAGCGUAUAUUUAAGUUGUUGCAGUUAAAAAGCUCGUAGUUGGAUUUCGGUUAAGAGCGACCGGUCCGCCGUUUGGUGUGCACUGGUUGGUUUUAACUUCCUGUAGAGGACGUGCUCUGGGUUUAACGACCUGGCCUCGGAGUCUACGUGGUUACUUUGAAAAAAUUAGAGUGUUCAAAGCGGGCUUACGCUUGAAUAUUUCAGCAUGGAAUAACACUAUAGGACUCCUGUCCUAUUUCGUUGGUCUCGGGACGGGAGUAAUGAUUAAGAGGAACAGUUGGGGGCAUUCGUAUUUCAUUGUCAGAGGUGAAAUUCUUGGAUUUAUGAAAGACGAACUUCUGCGAAAGCAUUUGCCAAGGAUGUUUUCAUUAA
rnacentral:rRNA from 1 species